AGGGCACCACCAGGAGUGGAGCCUGCGGCUUAAUUUGACUCAACACGGGAAAACUCACCCGGCCCGGACACUGGAAGGAUUGACAGAUUGAGAGCUCUUUCUUGAUUCAGUGGGUGGUGGUGCAUGGCCGUUCUUAGUUGGUGGAGUGAUUUGUCUGGUUAACUCCGAUAACGAACGAGACUCUAGCCUACUAAAUAGAUCGUCGGCUUACAAACGCCGGCGAGACUUCUUAGAGGGACAGGCGGUGAUUCAACCGCACGAAACAGAGCAAUAACAGGUCUGUGAUGCCCUUAGAUGUCCGGGGCCGCACGCGCGCUACACUGAAGUGAUCAGCGUGCUUUUUCAACCUACUCUGUCAAGAGUGGGGAACCCAAUGAACCUUCUUCGUGAUUGGGAUAGGGGAUUGUAAUUAUUCCCCUUGAACGAGGAAUUCCCAGUAAGCGCGAGUCAUAAGCUCGCGUUGAUUACGUCCCUGCCCUUUGUACACACCGCCCGUCGCUACUACCGAUUGAAUGUUUU
rnacentral:rRNA from 1 species